CAGUAGCCGCGGUAAUACGGAGGGUGCAAGCGUUAAUCGGAAUUACUGGGCGUAAAGCGCACGCAGGCGGUCUGACAAGUCAGAUGUGAAAUCCCCGGGCUUAACCUGGGAACUGCAUUUGAAACUGUCAGGCUGGAGUCUUGUAGAGGGGGGUAGAAUUCCAGGUGUAGCGGUGAAAUGCGUAGAGAUCUGGAGGAAUACCGGUGGCGAAGGCGGCCCCCUGGACAAAGACUGACGCUCAGGUGCGAAAGCGUGGGGAGCAAACAGGAUUAGAUACCCCCGUAGUCCCUGUCCUUAUACA
rnacentral:rRNA from 1 species